UUUCGCAAUGCCCGAAAGGGUGACGAAGCGACGCCGCGUGUGGGAAGAAGGCCUUCGGGUUGUAAACCACUGUCGGGAGUUAGGAAAUGUAGGAGCGUUAAUAGCGCACCUGCUUGACUAAGGCUCCAAAGGAAGCCACGGCUAACUCUGUGCCAGCAGCCGCGGUAAUACAGAGGCGGCAAGCGUUGUUCGGAAUUAUUGGGCGUAAAGAGCACGUAGGCGGCCUUGUAAGUCAGUUGUGAAAGCUUCCGCUUAACGGGAGAACGGCAUCUGAUACUACAGGGCUUGAGUACGGGAGGGGAGAGUGGAACUUCUGGUGGAGCGGUGAAAUGCGUAGAUAUCAGAAGGAACGCCGGCGGCGAAAACGACUCUCUGGCCCGAAACUGACGCUGAGUGUGCGAAAGCUAGGGGAGCAAACGGGAUUAGAUACCCCGGUAGUCCUAGCCGUAAACGAUGGGCACUAAGUAGAGGGGUUUU
rnacentral:rRNA from 1 species